CCCUAUGGGGCGCAGCAGGCGCGAAACCUCUGCAAUAGGCGAAAGCCUSACAGGGUUACUCUGAGUGAUUUCCGCUAAGGGGAUCUUUUGGCACCUCUAAAAAUGGUGCAGAAUAAGGGGUGGGCAAGUCUGGUGUCAGCCGCCGCGGUAAUACCAGCACCCCGAGUGGUCGGGACGAUUAUUGGGCCUAAAGCAUCCGUAGCCGGUUCUKCAAKUCUUCCGUUAAAUCCAGCCGCUCAACGGAUGGGCCGCGGAGGAUACUANAGGACUAGGAGGCGGGAGAGGCAAGCGGUACUCAGUGGGUAGGGGUAAAAUCCUUUGAUCCAUUGAAGACCACCAGUGGCGAAGGCGGCUUGCCAGAACGCGCUCGACGGUGAGGGAUGAAAGCUGGGGGAGCAAACCGGAUUAGAUACCCGGGUAGUCCCAGCUGUAAACGAUGCAGACUCGGUGAUGGGCUAGCCUUGUSCCAGCCCAGUGCCGCAGGGAASACCGUUAAGUCUGCCGCYUGGGGAGUACGGUCGCAAGACUGAAACUUAA
rnacentral:rRNA from 1 species